rnacentral:rRNA from 1 species
UACGUAGGGGGCAAGCGUUGUCCGGAAUCAUUGGGCGUAAAGCGCGUGUAGGCGGCCCGAUAAGUCCGCCGUGAAAGUUCAGGGCUCAACCCUGGGAUGCCGGUGGAAACUGUCGGGCUAGAGUCCGGAAGAGGCGAGUGGAAUUCCUGGUGUAGCGGUGAAAUGCGCAGAUAUCAGGAGGAACACCAAUGGCGAAGGCAGCUCGCUGGGACGGUUACUGACGCUGAGACGCGAAAGCGUGGGGAGCAAACAGG